GAUGAAUGCUGGCGGCGUGCCUAAUACAUGCAAGUCGAGCGAACAGAUGAGGAGCUUGCUCCUCUGACGUUAGCGGCGGACGGGUGAGUAACACGUGGAUAACCUACCUAUAAGACUGGGAUAACUUCGGGAAACCGGAGCUAAUACCGGAUAAUAUAUUGAACCGCAUGGUUCAAUAGUGAAAGACGGUUUUGCUGUCACUUAUAGAUGGAUCCGCGCCGCAUUAGCUAGUUGGUAAGGUAACGGCUUACCAAGGCAACGAUGCGUAGCCGACCUGAGGGGGUGAUCGGCCACACUGGAACUGAGACACGGUCCAGACUCCUACGGGAGGCAGCAGUAGGGAAUCUUCCGCAAUGGGCGAAAGCCUGACGGAGCAACGCCGCGUGAGUGAUGAAGGUCUUCGGAUCGUAAAACUCUGUUAUUAGGGAAGAACAAAUGUGUAAGUAACUAUGCACGUCUUGACGGUACCUAAUCAGAAAGCCACGGCUAACUACGUG
rnacentral:rRNA from 1 species